rnacentral:rRNA from 1 species
AUUGAACGCUGGCGGCAUGCCUUACACAUGCAAGUCGAACGGUAACGCGGGGCAACCUGGCGACGAGUGGCGAACGGGUGAGUAAUGUAUCGGAACGUGCCCAGUUGUGGGGGAUAACUGCUCGAAAGAGCAGCUAAUACCGCAUACGACCUGAGGGUGAAAGCGGGGGAUCGCAAGACCUCGCGCAAUUGGAGCGGCCGAUAUCAGAUUAGGUAGUUGGUGGGGUAAAGGCUCACCAAGCCGACGAUCUGUAGCUGGUCUGAGAGGACGACCAGCCACACUGGGACUGAGACACGGCCCAGACUCCUACGGGAGGCAGCAGUGGGGAAUUUUGGACAAUGGACGCAAGUCUGAUCCAGCCGUGCCGCGUGCGGGAAGAAGGCCUUCGGGUUGUAAACCGCUUUUGUCGGGGAAGAAAAGGCUCCUUCUAAUAUAGGGGGCUCACGACGGUACCUGAAGAAUAAGCACCGGCUAACUACGUGCCAGCCGCCGCGGUAA